UGAGGAAUAUUGGACAAUGGGCGCAAGCCUGAUCCAGCCAUGCCGCGUGCAGGAAGAAGCAUCUAUGGUGUGUAAACUGCUUUUGUACGGGAAGAAACACUCCUACGUGUAGGAGCUUGACGGUACCGUAAGAAUAAGGAUCGGCUAACUCCGUGCCAGCAGCCGCGGUAAUACGGAGGAUCCAAGCGUUAUCCGGAAUCAUUGGGUUUAAAGGGUCCGUAGGCGGGUCUGUAAGUCAGUGGUGAAAUCUCCCCGCUCAACGGGGAAACUGCCAUUGAUACUGCUAGACUUGAAUUAUUAGGAAAUAACUAGAAUAUGUAGUGUAGCGGUGAAAUGCUUAGAUAUUACAUGGAAUACCAAUUGCGAAGGCAGGUUACUACUAAUGGAUUGACGCUGAUGGACGAAAGCGUGGGGAGCGAACA
rnacentral:rRNA from 1 species